GUUUACGGCCAUACCAGCUGGGUACGCCCGAUCUCGUCUGAUCUCGGAAGCUAAGCAGGGUCGGGCCUGGUUAGUACUUGGAUGGGAGACCGCCUGGGAAUACCAGGUGCUGUAAGCU
rnacentral:rRNA from 1 species